UACGUAGGGUGCGAGCGUUAAUCGGAAUACUGGGCGUAAAGCGUGCGCAGGCGGUUUUGUAAGCCAGAUGUGAAAUCCCCGGGCUUAACCUGGGAAUGGCAUUUGGGACUGCAAGGCUCGAGUGCGGCAGAGGAGACUGGAAUUCCUGGUGUAGCAGUGAAAUGCGUAGAUAUCAGGAGGAACACCGGUGGCGAAGGCGGGUCUCUGGGCCGAUACUGACGCUGAGGAGCGAAAGCGUGGGGAGCGAACAGG
rnacentral:rRNA from 1 species